rfam:Ictidomys tridecemlineatus contig129956, whole genome shotgun sequence.
GGUGCUGUGGCUCAGUGGUAGAGGGCUUGCCUAGAAAGUGUGAGGCAAUGGGUUCAAUCCUCAGCACCA